UACGUAGGGUGCGAGCGUUGUCCGGAAUUAUUGGGCGUAAAGGGCUCGUAGGCGGUCUGUCGCGUCGGAAGUGAAAACUCAGGGCUUAACCCUGAGCCUGCUUCCGAUACGGGCAGACUAGAGGUAUGCAGGGGAGAACGGAAUUCCUGGUGUAGCGGUGAAAUGCGCAGAUAUCAGGAGGAACACCGGUGGCGAAGGCGGUUCUCUGGGCAUUACCUGACGCUGAGGAGCGAAAGUGUGGGGAGCGAACAGG
rnacentral:rRNA from 1 species